rnacentral:rRNA from 1 species
UACGUAGGAGGCGAGCGUUGUCCGGAAUUACUGGGCGUAAAGAGCGCGUAGGCGGCGCGGUACGACCGCUGUGAAAGCCCCCAGCUCAACUGGGGAGGGUCAGCGGUAACGGCCGUGCUAUGAGUGCAGGAGAGGGAAGUGGAACUCCGGGAGUAGCGGCGAAAUGCGUAGAGACCCGGAGGAACACCAGUGGCGAAGGCGGCUUCCUGGUCUGCGACUGACGCUGUGGCGCGAAAGCUAGGGGAGCAAACGGG